rnacentral:rRNA from 1 species
AUUGAACGCUGGCGGCAGGCUUAACACAUGCAAGUCGAGCGGAGAUGAGGUGCUUGCUACCGGACCUAGCGGCGGACGGGUGAGUAAUGCUUAGGAAUCUGCCUAUUAGUGGGGGACAACAUCUCGAAAGGGAUGCUAAUACCGCAUACGUCCUACGGGAGAAAGCGGGGAUCUUCGGACCUUGCGCUAAUAGAUGAGCCUAAGUCGGAUUAGCUAGUUGGUGGGGUAAAGGCCUACCAAGGCGACGAUCUGUAGCGGGUCUGAGAGGAUGAUCCGCCACACUGGGACUGAGACACGGCCCAGACUCCUACGGGAGGCAGCAGUGGGGAAUAUUGGACAAUGGGGGGAACCCUGAUCCAGCCAUGCCGCGUGUGUGAAGAAGGCCUUAUGGUUGUAAAGCACUUUAAGCGAGGAGGAGGCUCUUUUGGUUAAUACCCAAGAUGAGUGGACGUUACUCGCAGAAUAAGCACCGGCUAACUCUGUGCCAGCCGCCGCAGUAA